UGAAUGCACUUAGUGUAAGUCGCUCUGGAUAAGAGCAUCUGCUAAAUGUCUACAA
rfam:Salmo salar isolate Sally breed double haploid chromosome ssa19, whole genome shotgun sequence.